UCAAUAAAUAAAUAAACUAUGCAGACUGCUACUCCCACCAUGUAAGAAGGAGCACUACCAUAGGUCCUUCAUUCCAACAGCUGUCCGACUCUUUAACACUUCAUGACUUUCUUCUAUAGAUUAUUUCAUGUCUAUUGUAUGUCUAUUGGCAGGUCAUUGGUAAGAGUAACCAAAAACAAUCACAAUUCUCCAGAGCCCAAAGUGAUGCCCCAAAGAAAUAUUCGAUUUACAUUGAU